AUGGGGCUUGCCUUGUUAGCAAAUGCUUCCAUGCCGCUUAAAUUUUGGGAUGAAGCAUUCUUAACUGCUACAUAUCUCAUCAACUUGCUUCCAAGUAAAGUUAUCAAAUUUGAAACACCCAUUACACGACUUCUUGGUGUCACACCCAACUAUACAUCUCUUCGUAUUUUUGGUUGUGCCUGUUGGCCCAAUCUUAGGCCUUACAACACACGCAAACUCGCUUUCCGCUCAAAACGGUGUGUCUUUUUAGGCUAUAGCCCCAUGCAUAAAGGGGUUAAGUGCCUUGAUGUUCCUACUGGUCGGGUGUAUAUAUCCAGAGAUGUUGUAUUUGAUGAGUCCGUGUUUCCCUUUGCAUCCCUUCAUCCUAAUGCUGGUGCACUUCUCCGCAAAGAAAUUCUUCUUCUUCCUUCACAUCUUCGGUCUUUUGAUCAUGGGGGCGACAACAAUUGUACUAACCAAUGUGAUGAUAUUCCUGCUGGUACUAGUCUUUCUCUUAUGCCUGUGCAGGUCCCUGGAGAAAACGGUGCUCAAAAUGACCAAGAUCUCAAAAAUAUGGCUGGUUUUGAUCCUAUAUUUCAUGCUGAGGAAGGAGACGAAGCUGGCACAGAUGACGAAGAAGAUCUGGCGGCGCCUGCCACCCCUACACGCGCGCAGAUCUCGGAUCACGCGACCGCAUCCGCCUCGGAUCAAGCCCCUGAUGGCUCCAGUCCUGGAUCCAGGGCGGGCCACUCCCGUGCUGCCGCGUCAGCUUCAGGCGGGACCAGCAGCGGGGCCGAAUCCCCCUCGCCCCGCGCGCCAGUGUCAGACGGGACCAGCGGCGGGACCAGAUCCUCUCCGCAUCACGCGCGCCUCCAGUCGUGGUCGGGUGGCGGAUCCUCUGCGCCAGUGCCUGCAGGAGGGGCAGCCACACCAGAAGCCACAGGAUCC
rnacentral:rRNA from 1 species